rnacentral:tRNA from 1 species
UGCCGGGUCGCCUAGCGGUAAGGGCCUGGGGGCGGUUCAACUCCUGUGCACGGGUUCGAAUCCCGUCCCGGCAACCA